GCUGUGUUGGUCUAGUGGUAUGACAUCACGUUGUGGCCGUGAAGACGGGAGUUCAAUUCUCCCACAUAGCA